CCAGACUCCUACGGGAGGCAGCAGUGGGGGAUAUUGCACAAUGGGGGAAACCCUGAUGCAGCGACGCCGCGUGAGUGAGGAAGUAUUUCGGUAUGUAAAGCUCUAUCAGCAGGGAAGAAAAAAGACGGUACCUGACUAAGAAGCCCCGGCUAACUACGUGCCAGCAGCCGCGGUAAUACGUAGGGGGCAAGCGUUAUCCGGAUUUACUGGGUGUAAAGGGAGCGUAGACGGCAAUACAAGUCGGAAGUGAAAUACCCGGGCUUAACCUGGGAACUGCUUUGGAAACUGUGCAGCUAGAGUGCAGGAGAGGUAAGUGGAAUUCCUAGUGUAGCGGUGAAAUACGUAGAUAUUAGGAGGAACACCAGUGGCGAAGGCGGCUUACUGGACUGUAACUGACGUUGAGGCUCGAAAGCGUGGGGAGCAAACAGGAUUAGAUACCCGCGUAAU
rnacentral:rRNA from 1 species